rnacentral:rRNA from 1 species
GAUGAACGCUGGCGGCGUGCCUAAUACAUGCAAGUCGAGCGAACGGACGAGAAGCUUGCUUCUCUGAUGUUAGCGGCGGACGGGUGAGUAACACGUGGAUAACCUACCUAUAAGACUGGGAUAACUUCGGGAAACCGGAGCUAAUACCGGAUAAUAUUUUGAACCGCAUGGUUCAAAAGUGAAAGACGGUCUUGCUGUCACUUAUAGAUGGAUCCGCGCUGCAUUAGCUAGUUGGUAAGGUAACGGCUUACCAAGGCAACGAUGCAUAGCCGACCUGAGAGGGUGAUCGGCCACACUGGAACUGAGACACGCUCCAUACUCCUACGGGAGGCAGCAGUAGGGAAGCUUCCGCAAUGGGCGAAAGCCUGACGGAGCAACGCCGCGUGAGUGAUGAAGGUCUUCGGAUCGUAAAACUCUGUUAUUAGGGAAGAACAUAUGUGUAAGUAACUGUGCACAUCUUGACGGUACCUAAUCAGAAAGCCACGGCUAACUACGUG